rnacentral:rRNA from 1 species
CCGGCGCACGGGUGCGUAACGCGUAUGCAACCUACCAUCAACAGGGGGAUAACACUGAGAAAUUGGUACUAAUACCCCAUAAUAUCUCAUGCGGCAUCGCAUGGGGUUGAAAACUCCGGUGGUUGAUGAUGGGCAUGCGUUGUAUUAGCUGGUUGGUGAGGUAACGGCUCACCAAGGCGACGAUACAUAGGGGGACUGAGAGGUUAACCCCCCCACAUUGGUACUGAGACACGGACCAAACUCCUACGGAAGGCAGCAG